ensembl:lncRNA novel transcript
GGCUGGUCUCAAACUCCUGAACUCAGGUCAUCCACCCGCCUCGGCCUCCGAAAGUGCUGGGAUUACAUGCAUGAGCCACCGCACCCGGCCCUAAUUUUUGUAUUUUUAGUAGAGAUGGGGGUUCGCCAUGUUGGCCAGGCUGGUCUCGAACUCCUGACCUAAGGUGAUCCACCUGCCUUAGCCUCCCAAAGUGUUGGAAUUACAGGCAUGAGCCACCAUGCCUGGCCGGUGAUUUUUUUUUUUUUUUUCCUAACUUGAGUGGGGAGACCUUAACUAAAGGAGCUGAGAGGGGAGAAUGGCAGAUAGAUGUAGGAUAAUUGAUGGUGCAAGAAACCAGAAAAGGAAAAGUAGAUGGGAAGGGGGAAAGGGGUGAGCAAAAAGUCAGAGAAGUCCGCCUCUUCCUACAAGAUUUAAAGAGUGCAUAAAGAUUGAAAUAUUUUGAGGUAGGGAGGCAUGCAUGCUUCCAUGGAUCAGCUGCCUGGAUUACCCUCUACAAUCAUCCUUAGGGCAGCUGGGGUCACUGUCCUUUAAAAUUUAAGUACAAUUGACUCCAAACCUGUGUACCACUUAAGAAACCCAGCAUACCUGCCAAUAUCUCCAGAGUUUCAUUGGGAACUUACAUUUCUCCUAAUUAUCUCAGGCCCUAAUUUCUUGUUUGCAAAAAAUAUUGUGCUCUUUGGAAGAUUUGUCACCAUAUCCCAGAUAUUAGUCCAUUUAUAUUACCUCAAAAUAUUGCACCCUACCUAUAAGCAGGAAAAAUGCCCAAUAUUAUAUUAUUAUAUUAUAGUUAUAUGAUUGUUAAAUAAACUAGAGUUUGUGGCCAUUAAAAAUCAUGGUAAAUAAAAAGAUUUAAUGAUGUGGGAAAUCUUUAUAAUUAAAAGCACAUUAUAAGGUGAUAUAGCAGAUGGUAAUAUAUAAAUAUACAUAAAUAAGUAUAAUGCGUAGAUUUUAAAAUGAGACUUUUCUUCUGUGACAUCUAUAUUUUCUUAUUUUUAUAGUGCAUGUAUAUUUCUCCUGGAAGCAGGGAAAUGGUAUCUUUAAGUAGCUUUUAAAAGUAUUUUUAAGAAAGGUGUUUUUUAAAAGAUAUUUAUGGGGUUCGAAAGAAAAAAAUAUUAGGGCUGGGCAUGAUGGCUCAUGCCUGUAAUUCCAGCUACUUGGGAGGCCGAGGCUGGUGGAUCACCUGAGGUCAGGAGUAUGGGACCAGCCUGGCCAACAUGGUGAAACCCCAUCUCUACUAAAAGUACAGGCGUGGUGGCACGCCUGUAGUCCCAGCUACUUGGGUGGCUGAAGCAUGAGAAUCACUUGAACCCAGGAGGUGGAGGUUGCAGUGAGCUGAGAUUGCACCACUGCACUCCAGUCUGGGCAACAGAGUGAGAAUCUGUCUCAAAAGAAAAAGAAAAAUAUAUUAGGACUCUGGAAAGGAAUUUGGAAAUGAAUCUUUGAAGUGUAGAUGGGACUUUAGCAAAUAGAGAUGGGCUGAGUAAGGAGACUGUCCCAGGCAGAAGGAACAGUACAACCAAGAACCCACAGUGGGAAAUAGAUGGAGUGUUCAGAGGGGAGCACCAAGAAAUCCAUUUGGCUGGAGCACAGGACUGGUGUAGAAGAAAAGUAGGGGAAUCAAUGUGGAAAGCCAUCCUCCAAUAAAUUCAAGUUUUUAUUUUGGAAUGACUUUCCAUUUAAAGAAUUUCGAGGAUACUACAAAGAGUUCCAG